rnacentral:ncRNA from 1 species
GUAACGGCUGUGAAAAAGAGGAGUAGCUUGCUUAUUCUUUCAGAGAGUGCUCGUUUGGUGGAAGAGUGCAGAUGCGGUAGGUGAAGGUAGCUUUUGAGCCGGCAAGGUGAAACUAAGUAGUCUUGUCCGUAUAUCUGCGUUAAGGAUUUGAGUGGCAUUAUGUUUAAUUAAUGCAAUUUGAGUGGUACCACGGAAUUUUUCGCUUUCGUCUCAAUU